rnacentral:rRNA from 1 species
UACACUCCUGCGGGAGGCAGCAGUGGGGAAUUUUGGACAAUGGGCGAAAGCCUGAUCCAGCAAUGCCGCGUGAGUGAAGAAGGCCUUCGGGUUGUAAAGCUCUUUUGUCAGGGAAGAAACGGUGAGAGCUAAUAUCUCUUGCUAAUGACGGUACCUGAAGAAUAAGCACCGGCUAACUACGUGCCAGCAGCCGCGGUAAUACGUAGGGUGCAAGCGUUAAUCGGAAUUACUGGGCGUAAAGCGUGCGCAGGCGGUUUUGUAAGUCUGAUGUGAAAUCCCCGGGCUCAACCUGGGAAUUGCAUUGGAGACUGCAAGGAUAGAAUCUGGCAGAGGGGUAGAAUUCCACGUGUAGCAGUGAAAUGCGUAGAUAUGUGGAGGAACACCGAUGGCGAAGGCAGCCCCCUGGGUCAAGAUUGACGCUCAUGCACGAAAGCGUGGGGAGCAAACAGGAUUAGAAACCCCAGUAGUCCCAUGA